UGGGGAAUUUUGCACAAUGGGGGAAACCCUGAUGCAGCGACGCCGCGUGAUUUAGAAGGCCUUCGGGUUGUAAAAAUCUUUUGUAUGGGAAGAAAAUGACAGUACCAUACGAAUAAGGACCGGCUAAUUACGUGCCAGCAGCCGCGGUAAUACGUAAGGUCCGAGCGCUGUCCGGAAUCAUUGGGCGUAAAGGGUACGUAGGCGGAUAAGCAAGUUAGAAGUGAAAUCCUAUAGCUCAACUAUAGUAAGCUUUUAAAACUGCUAAUCUUGAGGUAUGGAAGGGAAAGUGGAAUUCCGGGUGUGGCGGUGAAAUGCGCAGAUAUUAGGAGGAAUACCGGUAGCGAAGGCGACUUUCUGACCAUAUACAAACGCUAAGGUACGAAAGAGUGGGUAGCAAGCAGG
rnacentral:rRNA from 1 species